AGAUUAUCAAAUCAAACUUUAUUUCUAAUAAUUGUAAUGGAUACAGAGAAGAUUAGCAUGGCCCCUGCGAAAGAAUGACAUGCAAAUUCGUGAAGCGUUUCCACAUUUUU